CAGAUGUAAUUGGUUAAGAUAAGAUCAUACUGGAUGUGGAUGGGUCCUAGAUCUGACUGCUGAUAUCCUUAUAAGAAGAAGAAAGGACACGCGGAGACUACAGUGAUGUUGCCACAAGCCAAGAAAUGCCAAGAAUUUCGGGAGCCACCAGAAGAUGGAAGAGGCAGGGAAAAAUCCUCCCCUAAAGCCUUCAGAGAGAGCAUAGCUCUGCCAACACCUUGAUUCUGGACAUCUAGCCUCUUAAACUUCCUCAGGUGUCUCAUUUCUUCUGUCUCAGAAGUCAUGGAUGUCAAUGAAGAUAUGGAAUUCACUUAUUCAUUCUUAUAAAUAUUACUUAGUGUCCUUGUGCUUGGCACUGUGCUUGGUCAUUGAGAUCUACUGUUCAAAAGCAAGAUAACAUACAGGCUGGAAUAGCGAGAUGCAAGAAUCCCAAGCCUUCAAAGCCAGCUCCUGCAGAAGAGAGAGGGCCUGGCAGCUGAGCUGGAUGCUUCAGGAGCAGAGGAUCUAUCAACUGCAGACCAAGCACAGGGAGACGCAGGCAAACCUGGAACAGUAACCCAGCCAGCUCCAAUUGCUCCGACAGUACUUGGUGGCCAGAGAGUCGGCAGCAGAAAGCAUGCCCCGGGCCGUGAAGCAGGAAAUCGACUCUGACUCAAUCCUUGAGGUCUGUAUUACAUCUGGGAGUACAACUUGAAGGGCCCCACACUCUUGUUUCUCAGCACCUCAUAAAUCUAAGCCCACGUGAAGUGAACAGAGCAUCCCUUCUUCAAGAGAAUGGAAAAAGAAAGGAUGCUGAGGAGGAACUGUUGGGGGCAGAGCCCUUGAAGCCAGCUGGCAAGACUGAGACCACUGAUCAAUGCUUUGCCCACUGAAAGGACAACCUUAUAAAGAAUUGGAACCAUUAAGCUUUAAUUUUUAGAAAUUUGGAUGCUAGAGGGAAUGGUCUUUAGGGACCGCUGCGGUCCCUAAACCCAUCAUCUGCUCUGGUGCCAGGAUACAAAUC
rnacentral:lncRNA from 10 species